GUGGCUCACGUCUGUAAUCCCAGCACUUUGGGAGGCUGAGGUGGGCGGAUCACGAGGUCAGGAGUUCGAGACCAGCCUGGCCAAUAUGGUGAAACCCUGUCUCUACUAAAAAUACAAAAAUUAGCCAGGUGUGGUGGCAGGCGCCUGUAAUCCCAGCUUCUCAGGAGGCUGAGGCAGGAGAAUUGCUUGAACCCAGGAGGCGGAGGCUGCAGUGAGCUGAUGAUCGCUCCAUGGCACUCCAGCCUGGGCAACAGAGCAAGACUAAGAAAAAAAAAGAAAGAAAAAGAAAAAGAAAACAAAGUAAUGUAAAAGGUGUUAUUCAGGCUGGGGACCCCCAAAGUGCUGGGAUUACAGGCAUGAGCCCCAGGGCAGGCCUAGGAUUUGCAUUACAAGGCUCUGCAUUGUUCCUGAGAACUGGAGAGAGUGCUCAAUCUACCUUUCGCUAUUGAGCAACAUUCAGAAGUCAGUUUUAAAUCUCUUAUCUUCUGCAUAGAGGAUGUGCCUGCAGUUUCCA
rnacentral:lncRNA from 10 species